rnacentral:lncRNA from 1 species
UUCUGGCCAUGCAAAAUUUAUACCUUUGAAAUCUUGUCACGGUUUGGCUACAGGAUGAGAUGUUAAGACAGAGAUUCAUGGUUUACUAGCAAGAUGUGAAAUGUGCACGUUCAGAAAAAUUUUGCAAAACAGGUUCCAAUAUAAACAGGGUUAACCCUGUUCUUGUUCUUGCUGCUGUUUCUGUUGCUGUUGACAUCAAGUCAAGGAGGGCAAGUGGGCUGGGGUUGGC